ACCUCAUUAGCUCAGUCGGCAGAGCAUGACACUCUUAAUCUCAGGUGAUGAGUUCGAGCUCCACAAUUGGGCA